ACCCGGAUGAAGAGUCCAUAUAGGACGAAAUGUGCAUCCUAGAU
rnacentral:hammerhead_ribozyme from 1 species